rnacentral:rRNA from 1 species
UUCUGGUUGAUCCUGCCGGAGGCCAUUGCUAUCAGGGUUUGACUAAGCCAUGCGAGUCGAGAGGUGUAAGACCUCGGCAUACUGCUCAGUAACACGUGGUUAACCUGCCCUAAGGUGGAGCAUACUCCCGGGAAACUGGGGCUAAUCCUCCAUAGUGGAUGUAUCCUGGAAUGGUAUAUCCUCGAAAGAUCCGUCGCCUUAGGAUGGACUGCGUCCGAUUAGGUUGUUGGCGGGGUAACGGCCCACCAAGCCAUUGAUCGGUACGGGUUGUGGGAGCAAGAUCCCGGAGAUGGAUUCUGAGACAUGAAUCCAGGCCCUACGGGGCGCAGCAGGCGCGCAAACUUUACAAUGCGAGCAAUCGUGAUAAGGAAACCCUGAGUGCCUGUCGAUGCAGGCUGUUCAUAUAUCUAAAUCAUAUGUGAAGAAAGGGCUGGGCAAG